GUCGGGAUAGCUCAGUUGGUAGAGAAA
rnacentral:tRNA from 1 species